rnacentral:tRNA from 1 species
GUGGUGUUGGCUCAGCAGUAGAGCACAGGACUUGCAUGCAUGAGGCUCCAGGUUCAAUUCCCUGGCAUCAUA